GAUGAAGAACGUAGCGAAAUGCGAUACUUGGUGUGAAUUGCAGAAUCCCGUGAACCAUCGAGUCUUUGAACGCAAGUUGCGCCCGAAGCCAUUAGGUCGAGGGCACGUCUGCCUGGGCGUCACACAACGUUGCCCCCCCAUCUACUCCUUCGGGAUUGCGGGGGGCGGAUGAUGGCCUCCCGUGCGCCUCGCCGCGCGGUUGGCAUAAAUGCCAAGUCCUCGGCGACGCACGCCACGACAAUCGGUGGUUGCGAAACCUCGGUUGCCCGUCGUGUGCGGUCGUCGCGCAUCGAGGGCUCGAAAAAAUUGCCGGGUUCCGGCUCGGCUUUCAACGCGACCCCAGGUCAGGCGGGGUUACCCGCUGAAUUUAAGCAUAUCAAUAAGCGGAGGA
rnacentral:misc_RNA from 1 species